UUUGUUUACCUAAGCAAGCCUGGGCAAUGGCGGGUGCCCCUCCUCCAGCCUCGCUGCCGCCUUGCAGUUUGAUCUCAGACUGCUGUGCUAGCAAUCAGCGAGAUUCCGUGGGCGUAGGACCCUCCGAGCCAGGUGUGGGAUAUAGUCUCGUGGUGCGCCGUUUUUCAAGCCGGUCUGAAAAGCGCAAUAUUCCGGUGGGAGUGACCCGAUUUUCCAGGACAUCCUGAGACUUCAGUGAAAUAUGCUGAUGGGAAAGGAAGAGAAUGAGUUUCGGUGCAGAAAGGCAUCUGAGGCACCACUUCUGAAAAACCCUGACUUUGUUAUCUUCCUCAAAAGAAUGGAAACUUAUUUACAUGAUUGUUGCUGACCAGGCAUCGAUAAGAAGAAAUGGGGAGCAAAUAUUUUGUAUAGACACCAGAAUGGCUAAUAAAGGUGACAUCACGCUGAGUUGCAAGAAUCUUCAGGGAUUGGAUCCUGAUACAGACCAGAUAUUCUGGAAUUCUCUCUCCAACAAAAGAUUACUUCAAGGCCAGAACACACUCCCAGCUAGAGAUCCAAGGUCCUCACUACCUUUAUGAGCUGUAACACUCACUGUGAAGGUCUGCAGCUUCACUCCUGAAGUCAGUGAGAUCACAAACCCAUUGGGAGGAAUGAAAAACUCUGGAUGCGCUACCUUUAAGAGCUGUAACACUCACUGCAAAGGUCUGCGGCCUCACUCCAGAAGUCAGUGAGACCAUGAACCCACUAGGAGCAAGAAACUCUGGAGACAUCUGAACAUUUGAAGGAAGGAACUCUGGACACACCAUCUUUAAGAACUGUAAUACUCACUGUGAGGGUCUGAGGCUUCAUUCUUGAAGUCAGCAAGACCAAGAACCCACCAGAAGGAACCAAUUCUGGACACAUUUUGGCAACCCAGAUGGGACAAUCACCAAGUGUUAAGGUGGCAGGAGUGGAAUCUUGGAUUUACCACAUCCGAGUUAAAUUUUGGACACCCCCUGAGGAAACUGUGGGACUGUCAGCUCAGGAGUCCCAAGAUCAGCUAGACCAGCCUCGAUACACCUGUGAACUGUUGGAGGACUUGCAUCUCCUAUUUCAGAAGGAAAAAUCCCAGACUAAAAAGGCUCCUACCACUGAUCCUGAAGAAAAACUCCUUCCUCAUUAAAAAAGAUAAGUGAAAACCUAUAUAAUCUUUAUCUUUAACACCUCUCCUUGCCCCUUUAAUGGAAUUCUUUUACUAUUUCAUCAUAUUGUUACGUAGCAUACUAACCAUACCCUUUGCAAUAGGACUAUAUACAGUAAGUAGCUCCUGCUGGGAUGAGAAUCCAAAUCACAUCAACCUUCUUUCUAUAUUCCUUCCUUCUGACAGCGAUUUACUUCUACCUUUAACUCAGACUGGAUAAGAUGAUCUCAUCUUCCAGAGCACCCUCUUUACCUUCCUAUUUACUCUUUGCCUAUCUAUCCCUGCUGCUUCCUUGGAUAUCUCAUACAAUCACCCCUCCCCUUCCACUAGCUCCUAAUUACCUCUACAAGACUCUCAACUUAACCCACUCUCUGUUAAACCAGUCCAAUCCUUCCCUGGCAAAUUACUUUUGGCUUUGUAUCUCUCUAUCAACUUCUGCUUAUGUUGCCACUCCCAUUCCCGCAAAAAAAUUGGGUUUUUACCAACUUAACCUACCACCCUCAUUAUGAAGGAAAAGACCCUUUCUGACUUCUAAAUAUGCAAUCAUUAGCUGACUUCCCCAUCUCUGAUAGGACCAAGAAUACCCUAACAGGACGUGCAUUCCAACUUUUAUGUUCUUACAUUUCCAACCUCACCUAUUACACAAGCAAUGAAAAGCCCAUACAUGGCCCUAUAACUAUGAAUACCAUCCUAAUUUUCCAAACCCCUUUAUGCAUCCAACACAACCUAUUAUCAGGCCUGCCCCUGGGGCACCUACUACCCCAUCAGUGUAAUAUCACCCUACAACUUCAAGUCCCAACUGAUCAUAGUAACUUCCGAGUCAUCCAAACAAUUCCAUUCAGAUGGCUUGUCUGCUUCUCAGGGCCCCCCAAAACCAUCAACUCCUCCCUGCUUAACAAACAGUCCAGGUUUUGUAAUGGCAAACAUACUCCCUGUAUGACCAUUCACCCCUGGACCUCCUACAGAAGCGCCCCCACCACUAGUGAAUGCCUUCUCAUCCCCCCUUUCAAUCACACUCUCGAAUGGUUCCUAGUAGGUAUGAAAUGGUUUUUUCUCCAAUAGGAAAAUAGAACAUAGGUAGCCACUCAGUUUGCUCCCAGCACCCCUUUCCAGCCAUUCACUGGAGCUACCUUUGCAAGUACUCUAGGAGUAUGGGAAAAUGAAAACAACAAACUCACACAUCUUUUUAACAAAAACAACCAGUUCUGUCUACCCAGAUAAGUAUAUUCUUCUUAUGUGGAUCAUCGAUGUAUAUCUGCCUUCCCACUAACUGGACAGGCACCUGCACCUUAGUCUUUCUAAGUCCCAACAUUAACAUUGCCCCCAGGAAAUCAGACCCUAUCAGUACCCCUCAAAGCCCAAGUCUGUCAGUGCAGAGCCAUACAACGAAUACCCCUACUUAUAGGGUUAAGAAUGGCUACUGCUACAGGAACUGGAAUAGCCAGUUUAUCUACUUCAUUAUCCUACUACCACACACACUCAAAGUAUUUCUCAGACAGUUUGCAAGAAAUAACGAAAGCUAUCCUUACUCUACAAUCCCAAAUAGACUCUUUGGCAGCAGCGACUCUCCAAAGCCACUGAGGCCUAGACCUCCUCACUGCUGAGAAAGGAGGACUCUGCACCUUCUUAGGGGAAAGUGUUGUUUUUACACUAACCAGUCAGGGAUAGUAUGAGAUGCUGCCUGGUGUUUACAGGAAAAGGCUUCUGAAAUCAGACAAUGACUUUCAAACUCUUAUACCAACAUCUAGAGUUGGGCAACAUGACUUCUUCCCUUUCUAGGUCCUGUGGCAGCCAUUUUGUUAUUACUUACCUUCAGGCCAUUUUUAACCUCCUUGUCAAAUUUGUUUCCUCUAGGAUCAAGGCCGUCAAGCUACAGAUGGUCUUACAAAUGGAAACCCAAAUGAGCUCAACUAACAACUUCUACUGAGGACCUCUGGACUAACCAGCUGGCCCUUUCACUGGCCUAAAGAGUUCCCCUCUUGAGGACACUACAACUGCAGGGCCCUUUCUUUGCCUCUAUCCAGCAGGAAGUAGCUAGAGUGGUCAUCGCCCAAUUCCCAACAGCAUUUGGGGUGUCCUGUUUAGAGGGGAGAUUAAGAGAUGAAGCUGGCUGGGCUUCUGGGUGAGGUGGGGACUUGGAGAACGUUUCUGUCUAGCUAAAGGAUUGUAUACACAUCAAUCAGUGCUCUGUGUCCAGCUAAAGGUUUGUAAACGCACCAAUCAGCAUGCUGUAAAAACGCACCAAUCAGCACUCUGUGUCUAGCUAAAGGUUUGUAAACGCACCAAUUAGCACUCUGUAAAAACGGACCAAUCAGCACUUUGUAAAAUGGACCAAUCAGCAGGAUGUGGGCAGGGCCAAAUAAGGGAAUAAAAGCUGGCCACCCAAGCCAGCAGCGGCAACCCACUUGGGUCCCCUUCCAAGCUGUGGAAGGUUUGUUCUCUUGCUCUUUGCAAUAAAUCUUGCUGCUGCUCACUCUUUGUGUCCACACUACCUUUAUGACCUGUUACACUCACCGCAAAGGUCUGCAGCUUCACUCCUGAAGUCACCAAGACCACAAACCCACCAAGAGGAACAAACAACUCCAGAUGCGCCAACUUUAAGAGCUGUAACACUCACUGCGAAGGUCUGUGGCUCCACUUCUGAAGUCAGUGAGACCAUGAACCCACCAGGAGGAAUAAACAACUCUGGAUGUGCCAUCUUUAAGAGCUGUAACACUCACUGCAAAGGUCUGCAGCUUCACUCCUAAAGUCAGCAAGACCAUGAACCCACGAGAAGAAAGAAACUCUGGACAAAUCUGAACAUCUGAAGGAAUAAACUCUGGAUACAACAUCUUUAAGAACUGUAACACUCAUUGCAAGGGUCUGUGGCUUCAUUCUUGAAGUCAGUGAGACAAAGAACCCACCAGAAAGAACCAAUUCCAGACACAAUAUGACAAAACAUGACUCUUUACCACUCCCCCAAAAUCACAGUAGCUCACCAGUAAUAGAUCCAAACCAAGAAGAAUUCUCUGAAUUGCCAGAAAAAGAAUGCAAAAGGUUGAUUAUUAAGCUACUCAAGGAGGCACCAGAGAAAGACAAAUAACAACUUAAAGAAAUUAAAAAAAAAGAAGACACAGGAUACAGAUGGAAAAAUCUCCAGAGAAAUAGAUAUCAUAAAUAAAAAACAAUCACAACUUCUAAAAAUGAAGGACACACUUAGAGAAAUGCAAAAUACACUGGAAAGUCUUAGCAAUAGAAUCAAACAAGUAGAAGAAAGAACUUCAGAGCUAGAAGACAAGCUUUUGAAUUAAUGCUAUCUGACAAAGAGAAACAAUUAAAAAAUUUUAAAAACAUGAGCAAAGCCUCAAAAAAGUUUGGGAUUAUGUUAAACAACAAAACCUAAGAAUAGGGGGAGGAGCCAAGAUGGCCGAAUAGGAACAGCUCCUGUCUACAGCUCCCAGCAUGAGCAACGCAGAAGACAGGUGAUUUCUGCAUUUCCAUCUGAGGUACCGGGUUCAUCUCACUAGGGAGUGCCAGACAGGGGGCGCAGGUCAGUGGGUGCGCGCACCAUGUGCAAGCCAAAGCAGGGCGAGGCAUUGCCUCACUUGGGAAGUACAAGGGGUCAGGUAGUUCCCUUUCUGAGUCAAAGAAAGGGGUGACAGAUGGCACCUGGAAAAUCGGGUCACUCCCACCCGAAUACUGCACUUUUCCGACGGGCUUUAAAAACGGCGCACCACGAGAUUAUAUCCCGCACCUGUCUCGGAGGGUCCUAUGCCCACGGAGUCUCGCUGAUUGCUAGCACAGCAGUCUGAGAUCAAACUGCAAGGUGGCAGCGAGGCUGGGGGAGGGGCGCCCGCCAUUGCCCAGGCUUGAUUAGGUAAACAAAGCAGCCUGGAUGCUCGAACUGGGUGGAGCCCACCACAGCUCAAGGAGGCCUGCCUGCCUCUGUAGGCUCCACCUCUGGGGGCAGGGCACAGACAAACAAAAAGACAGCAGUAACCUCUGCAGACUUAAAUGACGCUGUCUGACAGCCUUGAAGAGAGCAGUGGUUCUCCCAGCACACAGCUGGAGAUCUGAGAAUGGGCAGACUGCCUCCUCAAGUGGGUCUCUGACCCUGACCCCUAAGCAGCCUAACUGGGAGGCAUCCCCCAGCAGGGGCACACUGACACCUCACAUGGCAGGGUACUCCAACAGAACUGCAGCUGAGGGUCCUCUUUGUUAGAAGGAAAACUAACAAACAGAAAGGACAUCCACACCAAAAACCCAUCUGUACAUCACCAUCAUCAAAGACCAAAAGUAGAUAAAACCACAAAGAUGGGGAAAAAACAGAACAGAAAAACUGGAAACUCUAAAAAGCAGAGCACCUCUCCUCCUCCAAAGGAACGCAGUUCCUCACCAGCAACAGAACAAAGCUGGAUGGAGAAUGACUUUGACGAGCUGAGAGAAGAAGGCUUCAGAUGAUCAAAUUACUCUGAGCUACGGGAGGACAUUCAAACCAAAGGCAAAGAAGUUGAAAACUUUGAAAAAUAUUUAGAAGAAUGUAUAAAUAGAAUAACCAAUACAGAGAAGUGCUUAAAGGAGCUGAUGGAGCUGAAAACCAAGCCUCAAGAACUACGUGAAGAAUGCAGAAGCCUCAGGAGCUGAUGCAAUCAACUGGAAGAAAGGGUAUCAGCAAUGGAAGAUGAAAUGAAUGAAAUGAAGUGAGAAGGGAAGUUUAGAGAAAAAAGAAUAAAAAGAAAUGAGCUAAGCCUCCAAGAAAUAUGGGACUAUGUGAAAAGACCAAAUCUACAUCUGAUUGGUGUACCUGAAAGUGAUGGGGAGAAUGGAACCAAGUUGGAAAACACUCUGCAGGAUAUUAUCCAGGAGAACUUCCCCAAUCUAGCAAGGCAGGCCAACAUUCAGAUUCAGGAAAUACAGAGAACGCCACAGAUACUCCUCAAGAACAGCAACUCCAAGACACAUAAUUGUCAGAUUCACCAAAGUUGAAAUGAAGGAAAAAAUGUUAAGGGCAGCCAGAGAGAAAGGUCGGGUUACCCUCAAAGGGAAGCCCAUCAGACUAACAGCAGAUCUCUCGGCAGAAACCCUACAAGCCCGAAGAGAGUGGGGGCCAAUAUUCAACAUUCUUAAAGAAAAGAAUUUUCAACCCAGAAUUUCAUAUCCAGCCAAACUAAGCUUCAUAAGUGAAGGAGAAAUAAGAUACUUUACAGACAAGCAAAUGCUGAGAGAUUUUGUCACCACCAGGCCUGCCUUACAAGAGCUCCUGAAGGAAGCACUAAACAUGGAAAGGAACAACCGGUACCAGCCGCUGCAAAAUCAUGCCAAAAUGUAAAGACCAUCGAGACUAGGAAGAAACUGCAUCAACUAACGAGCAAAUUAACCAGCUAACAUCAUAAUGACAGGAUCAAAUUCACACAUAACACUAUUAACUUUAAAUGUAAAUGGACUAAAUGCUCCAAUUAAAAGACACAGACUGGCAAAUUGGAUAAAGACUCAAGACCCAUCAGUGUGCUGUAUUCAGGAAACCCAUCUCACCUGCAGAGACACACAUAGGCUCAAAAUGAAAGGAUGGAGGAAGAUCUACCAAGCCAAUGGAAAACAAAAAAAGGCAGGGGUUGCAAUCCUAGUCUCUGAUAAAACAGAGUUUAAAGCAACAAAGAUCAAAAGAGACAAAGAAGGCCAUUACAUAAUGGUAAAGGGAUCAAUUCAUCAAGAAGAGCUAACUAUCCUAAAUAUAUAUGCACCCAAUACAGGAGCACCAAGAUUCAUAAAGCAAGUCCUGAGUGACCUACAAAGAGACUUAGAUUCCCACACAUUAAUAAUGGGAGACUUUAACACCUCACUGUCAACAUUAGACAGAUCAACGAGACAGAGUCAACAAGGAUACCCAGGAAUUGAACUCAGCUCUGCACCAAGCGGACCUAAUAGACAUCUACAGAACUCUCCACCCCAAAUCAACAGAAUAUACAUUUUUUUCAGCACCACACCACACCUGUUCCAAAACUGACCACAUACUUGGAAGUAAAGCUCUCCUCAGCAAAUGUAAAAGAACAGAAAUUAUAACAAACUAUCUCUCAGACCACAGUGCAAUCAAACUAGAACUCAGGAUUAAGAAUCUCACUCAAAACCGCUUGACUACAUGGAAACUGAACAACCUGCUCCUGAAUGACUACUGGGUACAUAAUGAAAUGAAGGCAGAAAUAAAGAUGUUCUUUGAAACCAACGAGAAGAAAGACACAACGUACCAGAAUCUCUGGGACACAUUCAAAGCAGUGUGUAGAGGGAAAUUUAUAGCACUAAAUGCCCACAACAGAAAGCAGGAAAGAUCCAAGAUGGACACCCUAACAUCACAAUUAAAAGAACUAGAAAAGCAAGAGCAAACACAUUCAAAAGCUAGCAGAAGGCAAGAAAUAACUAAAAUCAGAGCAGAACUCAAGGAAAUAGAGACACAAAAAACCCUUCAACAAAUUAAUGAAUCCAGGAGCUGGUUUUUUGAAAGGAUCAACAAAAUUGAUAGACCACUAGCGAGACUAAUAAAGAAAAAAAGAGAGAAGAAUCAGACUCAAUAAAAAAUGAUAAAGGGGAUAUCACCACCGAUCCCACAGAAAUACAAACUACCAUCAGAGAAUACUACAAACACCUCUACGCAAAUAAACUAGAAAAUCUAGAAAAAAUGGAUAAAUUCCUCGACACAUACACUCUCCCAAGACUAAACCAGGAAGAAGUUGAAUCUCUGAAUACACCAAUAACAGGAUCUGAAAUUGUGGCAAUAAUCAAUAGCUUACCAACAAAAAAGAGUCCAGGACCAGAUGGAUUCGCAGCCGAAUUCUACCAGAGGUACAAGGAGGAACUGGUACCAUUCGUUCUGAAACUAUUCCAAUCAAUAGAAAAAGAGGGAAUCCUCCCUAACUCAUUUUAUGAGGCCAGCAUCAUUCUGAUACCAAAGCCAGGCAGAGACACAACCAAAAAAGAGAAUAUUAGAUGAACAUCCUUGAUGAACAUUGAUGCAAAAAUCCUCAAUAAAAUACUGGCAAACUGAAUCCAGCAGCACAUCAAAAAGCUUAUCCACCACAAUCAAGUGGGCUUCAUCCCUGGGAUGCAAGGCUGGUUCAAUAUACGCAAAUCAAUAAAUGUAAUCCAGCAUAUAAACAGAACCAAAGACAAAAACCACAUGAUUAUCUCAAUAGAUGCAGGAAAAGCCUUUGACAAAAUUCAACAAUGCUUCAUGCUAAAAACUCUCAAUAAAUUAGGUAUCGAUGGGACAUAUUUCAAAAUAAUAAGAGCUAUCUAUGAAAAACCCCUAGCCAAUAUCAUACUGAAUGGGCAAAAACUGGAAGCAUUGCCUUUGAAAACUGGCACAAGACAGGGAUGCCCUCUCUCAACACUCCUAUUCAACAUAGUGUUGGAAGUUCUGGCCUGGGCAAUUAGGCAGGAGAAGGAAAUAAAGGGUAUUCAAUUAGGAAAAGAGGAAGUCAAAUUGUCCCUGUUUGCAGACAACAUGAUUGUAUAUCUAGAAAACCCCAUUGUCCCAACCCAAAAUCUCCUUAAGCUGAUAAGCAACUUCAGCAAAAUCUCAGGAUACAAAAUCAAUGUACAAAAAUCACAAGCAUUCUUAUACACCAACAACAGACAAACAGAGAGCCAAAUCAUGAGUGAACUCCCAUUCACAAUUGCUUCAAAGAGAAUAAAAUACCUAGGAAUCCAACUUACAAGGGAUGUGAAGGACCUCUUCAAGGAGAACUACAAACCACUGCUCAAGGAAAUAAAAGAGGAUACAAACAAAUGGAAGAACGUUCCAUGCUCAUGGGUAGGAAGAAUCAGUAUCGUGAAAAUGGCUAUACUGCCCAAGGUAAUUUACAGAUUCAAUGCCAUCCCCAUCAAGCUACCAAUGCCUUUCUUCACAGAAUUGGAAAAAACUACUUUAAAGUUCAUAUGGAACCAAAAAAGAGCCUGCAUCGCCAAGGCAAUCCUAAGCCAAAAGAACAAAGCUGGAGGUAUCACGCUACCUGACUUAAAACUAUACUACAAGGCUACAGUAACCAAAACAGCAUGGUACUGGUACCAAAACAGAGAUAUAGAUCAAUGGAACAGAACAGAGCCCUCAGAAAUAAU